rnacentral:rRNA from 1 species
CCUACGGGUGGCAGCAGUGAGGAAUAUUGGUCAAUGGGCGCGAGCCUGAACCAGCCAAGUCGCGUGAGGGAAGACGGUCCUAUGGAUUGUAAACCUCUUUUGUCGGGGAGCAAAAGACGCCACGCGUGGCGUUCCGAGAGUACCCUAAGAACAAGCAUCGGCUAACUCCGUGCCAGCAGCCGCGGUAAUACGGAGGAUGCGAGCGUUAUCCGGAUUUAUUGGGUUUAAAGGGUGCGCAGGCGGAAGAUCAAGUCAGCGGUAAAAUUGAGAGGCUCAACCUCUUCGAGCCGUUGAAACUGGUGUUCUUGAGUGAGCGAGAAGUAUGCGGAAUGCGUGGUGUAGCGGUGAAAUGCAUAGAUAUCACGCAGAACUCCGAUUGCGAAGGCAGCAUACCGGCGCUCAACUGACGCUCAUGCACGAAAGUGUGGGUAUCGAACAGGAUUAGAUACCCCAGUAGUC